CUCAGGAGAACGCUGGCGGCGUGCCUUACACAUGCAAGUCGAGCGGGGAAGAUUUCCUGUGGCAACACAGGGGUCUUCUUAGCGGCAAACGGGUGAGUAAUGGAUGAGUAACCUGCCCUGUAGAUGGGGAUAGCCAUCCGAAAGGAUGGGUAAUACCCAAUAAUGUUGGAGGACUUCGGUUCUCCAAAGAAAGGUGGCGCAAGCUACCGCUUCAGGAUGGGCUCAUCUCCUAUCAGCUAGUUGGUGAGGUAAUGGCUCACCAAGGCUAUGACGGGUAGCUGGCCUGAGAGGGUGGUCAGCCACAUUGGGACUGAGACACGGCCCAGACUCCUACGGGAGGCAGCAGUGGGGAAUCUUGGUCAAUGGGCGAAAGCCUGAACCAGCGACGCCGCGUGGAGGACGAAGGCCGAAAGGUCGUAAACUCCUUUUGCAAGGGAAAAAGGGAAGGGUUCGAAUAGGACCCUAUCCUUGAUUGUACCUUGCGAAUAAGCCCCAGCCAACUACGUGCCAGCAGCUGCGGUAAAACGUAGGGGGCGAGCGUUAUCCGGAAUCACUGGGUGUAAAGGGUACGCAGGCGGAUUUGUA
rnacentral:rRNA from 1 species